GACGAACGCUGGCGGCGUGCUUAACACAUGCAAGUCGAACGAAGAGCGAUGGAAGCUUGCUUCUAUCAAUCUUAGUGGCGAACGGGUGAGUAACGCGUAAUCAACCUGCCCUUCAGAGGGGGACAACAGUUGGAAACGACUGCUAAUACCGCAUACGAUCUAACCUCGGCAUCGAGGAUAGAUGAAAGGUGGCCUCUACAUGUAAGCUAUCACUGAAGGAGGGGAAUGCGUCUGAUUAGCUAGUUGGAGGGGUAACGGCCCACCAAGGCGAUGAUCAGUAGCCGGUCUGAGAGGAUGAACGGCCACAUUGGGACUGAGACACGGCCCAGACUCCUACGGGAGGCAGCAGUGGGGAAUCUUCCGCAAUGGACGAAAGUCUGACGGAGCAACGCCGCGUGAGUGAUGACGGCCUUCGGGUUGUAAAGCUCUGUUAAUCGGGACGAAAGGCCUUCUUGCGAAUAGUGAGAAGGAUUGACGGUACCGGAAUAGAAAGCCACGGCUAACUACGUG
rnacentral:rRNA from 1 species